rnacentral:rRNA from 1 species
AUACGGAGGGGGCUAGCGUUGUUCGGAAUUACUGGGCGUAAAACGCGCGUAGGCGGCCUGUCAAGUUGGAUGUGAAAGCCCGGGGCUCAACCCCGGAAUUGCAUUCAAAACUGGCAAGCUAGAGACCGAGAGAGGUGAGUGGAAUUUCCAGUGUAGAGGUGAAAUUCGUAGAUAUUGGAAAGAACACCAGUGGCGAAGGCGGCUCACUGGCUCGGUACUGACGCUGAGGUGCGAAAGCGUGGGGAGCAAACAGGAUUAGAUACCCCAGUAGUCC